AGUCAUCCCCCGUGGACGAACCCCGUUGUAAGCCAGGCAGCCACCCACCAUCGUGCGGAGCGUCGGUCCGCGCACUCGUCCGGGGGUGGCGGCAAGUCCUGCCGGAGCCAGUGCCCGCGCGUCUUUCGCGAUCAACGGACUGCGCGUACCAAAAACGGGGAGGUUCUCUUGCUCGCGUGUCAACCUUCGAAAGAGUCCGUGCCGUCCUUUAUCUUUCAAACCUUCAAACCAAUAUCCCCUUCUCUUAAUACCUUUAAAUAAUCUCAAUCUGCUUUAUCUUUCGUUUAUUUUCUAAGGAAGAAAGAAAAAGAAAGAAAAAAAAGAAACUACCACCACCUUUCCCCCUACUCUAAAUAUGAUUCUGCCAAAAAGGACGUUCCCUCGUUCCCUAUUUGAUGAUAUCGCGAAUUACUUUUGAACUAUACUCUUGAACGAACUAAAGUUAAGGCAAACCUUUUACUUAGUGCUAACUUUGAUCGAAACGUUCAAUAUAGUGUUCGAAAUGGACAAUACACGAAUGUACUACGGCCAAGUGAUACGGAUUAGGAUAACGACAAUGUUAUUUAUGUGAGCUUCCUGGAAAAUCUGCAAACGAGAGAACGUUUCUCUCAAGUGAAAAUUUGUGAAACUCCUGUGAGAGAUAUUUCGAAGGUAUUUUUUUCGUUUGACCGAUCGAUCUCGUCGAGCGAUACAACCCCUUUUGUUUAAUUAAACGAAUUUGGAAAUAUUAUUCUAGAAUUUAUGUGGAAAAGUUUUCUUGCCUGAUUCUAUUCUUUUUAUUCGUUCGUUAAAGUGUAAUGCGGACCACACGAUCGAUCGUCUUCGAAUGCGCUAUGUGAAGAACAAAUAGGCCUCGUGAUUUGGAAGAACUAUGCGAAUUGUUCAAUGCACGAUAAUUAUGUUGCGCAGGACAAGAUUGAGCAAGAGUGAGUGUUUAGUAAAUUGAUCGGACGAAUGAACGAAUGACACAUCGGGCCUUCUUUCUUAUAUUCGUGAUUUAUGAGAUUUUAAAUAUAAAAAGGACACUGGUUGACAAAACUUCAGGACAACAUAUAAAGUGAUCGUGGUUACAGAAUUCCUAGUGAUGAAAUUGAGACGUUCCUGAUGUAAAUCGCACAAGGCUUAAAGCAAGAUGGACGAUCGCGUGGCCCGGAAGAACGUUCACGUAGGUCGAUGGAUCUUCGUUAGCGCGUAAUUUUCUGUGAAAGUGUUAACAUAGCCGUGUAUCGCGUGCAUACGUUCGUACGCUUUGCCGAGUUUUUUGCUCUCUUCUCUACGAACGUGUGUCAAGCAGAAACAAUGCUGUAAUCGUGCAGCUGCGAAGCGAGCUCACGUCGGACAUGAUGGCACUGUUGUUCGCCGUAAUCGUCAUCCUGGUCACCACUGCCAUGUCGCUGCCACCUGUCAUCAGAAUCGGUGCUAUUUUCACGGAGGAUCAGAAGGACAGUCCCUCGGAAUUAGCUUUUAAAUACGCAAUAUAUAAGAUCAAUAAGGAUAAGACUCUUUUGCCAAAUACAACACUGGUCUACGAUAUUCAAUAUGUGCCUAAGGAUGACUCUUUUCGGACGUCAAAAAAAGCUUGUAAGCAGCUAUCGAGAUCCGUUCAAGGUAUUUUUGGACCUUCGGAUCCUCUUUUAGGAGCCCACAUACAAAGUAUAUGCGAAGCUUUAGACGUACCUCAUCUUGAAGCAAGGGUCGACUUUGAGCCAACGUUCAAGGAAUUUAGCAUAAAUCUUUACCCGGCUCAAGAUCACCUCAACAAAGCCUUUAAGGAUCUCAUGUCCUUUCUGAAUUGGACCAGAGUUGCCAUCAUUUACGAAGAGGAUUAUGGUUUAUUUAAACUACAGGAUCUUGUAAAAUCACCACCAUCAACGAGGACAGAAAUGUAUAUACGUCAGGCAGGACCUGGAUCUUAUAGACAAGUUCUACAAGAGGUCAGACAUAAGGAAAUUUUCAAAUUAAUCGUUGAUACGGAUCCAGCGCACAUGCAACAAUUUUUUCGUGCCAUAUUGCAGUUACAAAUGAACGACUACAGAUAUCACUAUAUGUUUACGACAUUCGAUAUCGAAACGUUCGAUUUGGAGGAUUUCAAGUACAACAGUGUCAACAUGACGGCGUUCCGCUUGGUCGAUCUCGAGGAAGCUAAGGUCGCCGAGACGCUUCGACAGAUGGAACGCUUCCAGCCGAUUGGCCAUGCGAUUUUAAAUAAAACCGGUGUGAUCCAGGCAGAACCAGCUUUAGUGUAUGACAGCGUACAAGUUUUCGCCCACGGAUUGGCAGCAUUGGAUCGAAGCCAUGACCUAAGACCUGCCAAUUUGUCCUGUGAAAAAGAAGAACCUUGGGACGACGGUCUUUCACUUUACAACUACAUCAAUUCCGCAGGCUUACACGGGUUAACCGGACGCAUAGAAUUCAACGAAGGUAAAAGAAAUAAUUUCAAAUUGGAUCUACUCAAGUUGAAGAAAGAAGAUCUUGUGAAGGUAGGCGAAUGGAAGCCUGGAAGCGGCGUUAAUAUCACGGAUGUGGGUGCCUUUUAUGAAACGACGGCGACAAAUAUCACGCUGGUCGUAAUGACAAGAGAGGAGAGACCAUACGUAAUGGUAAAGGAAGAUAAAAAUUUAACCGGAAACGCAAGAUUCGAAGGAUUUUGUAUCGAUUUACUUAAAUGGAUUGCCGGACAAGUUGGCUUCCAAUAUGUUAUUCGUUUGGUACCCGACCAUAUGUAUGGAGUUUAUAAUCCUGAUACCAAAGAAUGGAAUGGCAUCGUACGCGAGCUCAUGGAAAAAAGAGCAGAUCUUGCAGUUGCUUCUAUGACGAUCAAUUAUGCCAGAGAAAGCGUGAUAGAUUUCACGAAGCCUUUUAUGAAUCUUGGUAUUGGAAUCUUGUUUAAGGUGCCAUCCAGUCAGCCGACACGACUCUUCUCCUUCAUGAAUCCAUUGGCGGUGGAGAUUUGGUUGUACGUAUUAGCCGCGUACAUGUUGGUCAGCUUUACACUCUUCGUGAUGGCAAGGUUCAGUCCUUAUGAAUGGAACAAUCCACACCCUUGUUUAGCGGAUAGCGAUGUCGUCGAAAACCAGUUUAGCGUUAGCAACAGUUUCUGGUUCAUCACCGGUACUUUCCUAAGGCAGGGCAGCGGGCUCAACCCCAAGGCGACCAGUACGAGAAUUGUUGGUGGAAUAUGGUGGUUUUUCACGCUCAUAAUCAUCUCCUCGUAUACGGCAAAUCUUGCAGCUUUUUUAACGGUUGAAAGGAUGAUAACGCCAAUAGAAAAUGCUGCCGAUUUAGCGGAACAAACCGAGAUAUCUUACGGCACUUUGGAAGGUGGCAGUACAAUGACUUUCUUUAGGGAUUCGAAAAUUGGAACUUAUCAAAAAAUGUGGAGAUUUAUGGAAUCGAAAACUCCUUCUGUUUUUGUAAAAACUUACGAGGAAGGGGUAAAGAGGGUAUUGGAGGGUGAUUACGCGUUUCUCAUGGAAUCUACGAUGCUGGAUUAUGCAGUCCAAAGAGAUUGCAAUUUGACACAAAUAGGAGGUUUAUUGGAUAGCAAGGGAUAUGGAAUAGCAACGCCAAAAGGCUCACCCUGGAGGGAUAAAAUAUCUCUAGCUAUUCUCGAGCUACAGGAGAAAGGUGUAAUACAGAUCCUCUACGAUAAGUGGUGGAAGAAUACGGGAGACGUGUGUAACAGAGAUGAAAAGAAUAAGGAGAGUAAAGCUAGUGCUCUUGGGGUCGAAAAUAUCGGUGGUGUCUUUGUCGUGCUACUAUGUGGUCUUGCUCUAGCAAUCCUAGUGGCAAUCCUCGAGUUUUGCUGGAAUUCGAAGAAAAACGUUCAUUCCGACAGGUCACUCUGCGCCGAAAUGUUCUCCGAAUUGCGUUUCGCCGUGCACUGUGGAUCGCGACAGAGGCCAGCUUCAAAAUCGCGGAAUUCCUCAGUCCCUGUAUCAUGCGGCCGUUGCAGUCCACAUGCUACUAGAAGAAGGAUGAGAUAUUAUUCGAGUGGGCACGAAGAGACGACAUAUGUACCCAGUUUGGAUAUACCUAGGUUAAAUGCAGGAGGGUGGUGCAUUGCCGAUGACGGAGAUGAAGAAAUCAUUGAGCUUCGAUCAAGUGGGGGCGGCCCGUGGCGGGAACACCUAGCACAGGCCUCAUCCUCAUCUUCGUCCUCAGCAACAGCAACAACAGCAGCAGCAACAGCAGCAGCAGCAGCCACCACAGCCAGCGUGCAAAGUCACACCUACGCACACACGUCACAUACACUGCCACUCUCAUUCACACAAUCACAGCCACAGUCACAGUCACAGUCACGCGCACAAGCACCAAGCAGCCCCACUGAAACAGAGACGGGGCUCUUCAGGCAUCGUCUUGGGUCAAGGUUAGAUGCGUUCGAUGUCGAUGACGAAGACUCGUUUCUCAGAGGUGACCACCCUGAGAGCAUCCUUUGGAGAUUCGAUUGCGAUCUAGGAGGUGAACCGGACGUUGUGAUCUCUCCACCACCUCCACCACCACCGCCACCUUCUGCAGCGGUUUCAAGGACGACGACUCUUUGACCGAUACUAGAGGAGGUGCCUACAGGUGUGCCCGUCCAAAAGGAGCUGCCAACUCAAGCCUCCGUUGUGAUCAAUGUGAUCAAUCAAAAGGAGACGUGUUUAUAGCACACAUAGUCGGCGGAAUGAACGAACAAACGAAUGAAAUCCGCCGAGAUAUGCGCCGAACUAAGGAUGACCGAAAAUUUUUCUGUGACUCCGUGAGCCUGCUGUUGAUACUGCCCUGCUACUGCCGCUGCUAUUGCCGCUGCUAUCGCCGCUGCUGACGUUACGUCAAUGAAUGCGUUUCCGGACGCGUUAUCGCCGAUAGGCAGAUAUGUAUUUAGGAAACUCGCAAACAAAAGUGAAGACAUGUCGUUCGUAACAACAAGAGAAGAAGGAGGAAGAGGAGAGGAAGAGAAAACGAUCGAUGUUAUGAUGUUUCAUCAAUCAUCGAGGAUAAUUUCAAAAGAAACAUAUUCGAAGUUAUCGAAGUAGAACUAUCUCAUUCCUUUUUAUUUCGGAAGUUGCACUAUUCGAUAUAUUAUUUAUGCAAAUCCCCUUCUCUGAGGUUACUCGUCAUCCUUCUCCACAAAUUUCUCUCUCACUCAUCCUUUCUCUCUCACUGUCACUCUUUCUCUCUCUCUCUCUCUAUCUCUCUCUCACUCUCCCUCUCCCUUUCUCUCUCACUCUCUCUAUCUCUUAUUCAUCGUAUUUAAGCUCGAAAUAGAAAAUCUCGUAGGAUUUGAAUGAAUAUACUUUGCCCCAAAAAUCAACAUAAUCGCCUUUUUACAAACAGGAAAUGUCGUAUAAGGCUUUUUUAUAACUUUACAUAAUGAAAGAUUAAAAAUAUAACAUUUAUUAAAUUAUACAAGUAUAAAAAGGAGUAAGAUAAAAAGCGACAUGAACCAUUUAUAAAUGCAUACCUUUUUGUUUAUUUAUGAUAUUACACCUUCUUCAUGCUCUCGUAACAAAAGAUACAUUUAUUACCGUACCAAUGAAAAGCUAAAUUGUCCGCGAAGUGACGGCUCUCAACACUCCAUAUUGAAAAUUGCAUUCAUUUAACUGGCAGUUUCAUUUCAAAGGGUUCAUGUUAAAAUUUAGGUCAAUCUCCAAUAUCGAUUAAACGCGGUCGAAAUCGAAACCGUUCGUUUUCGAUUGAAACUUUCUAUAAAUUUUUUUCGUCUACAAUGCCGUAAUAGCGUACUAAAAUUACUUAACAUUACGAAUUGACCACUUUGAUCUCUAUUUUAUCGAUCGAAAUUAAAAGCCGUCGAUUAAAGUCAAGACGUCGCUUAAAAACGGCCACCGUCUAUGACGACUUCUUCAUAUUUCUAUUACGUUUGUUUUGUUUCUUAAUCGAUUCGUUAGAAAAUCACAAAGAGAAGCUUCGAUACUACCAUCUACAUUUAAUUAACCUAUAGACGACCUAUUUAUAUACAUGCUUUUUUUUUAAUGCGUGCGUUAAAGUUCAAAUGUACGUUUCUUUUUCAUUAGAGAAGAUAAAGAAAGAGAAAAUUAAUGAUCGUAAUAUCCAAAUCGUAAUACUUACGUCUUUUUCAAAACUAACUGAAUGAAAAAGUACCAAAACAUUUUUUAAGUUCAAAGGUUACUAUUAGAAAGAAGAUUUGAUAAAAUUUAUUCAACUUUUUCUUUCGUAAAGCGAAACUCUCUUUCGCCUUGUAUAUGAGAUAUAAAUUAAAUGAAGAAUUCCCUAUGAGCGUGUCGACACGUGACAAUUUGCAUAUUAAUUGUUAAUUGAUUGACGUGUGUUUAUUAUUCAAUAUAGUUUGACGUCCGAUAGAAAAAUUGUCCGUAAAUAAGCCUCUUUUUCGUUCAACCGGACGGAUUCGUGUCAAUAAAUUUCGCGAAAAUAACCAGAACAAUAAAUUGAUAAGUUCAAAAUAAUAAAGCUUUCGAAUAAUAAUAUCGACACUAAAUUAAUUGAUAUGUUUUUUGGAAUAUUGAUGAUAGUAAUAUGAAAAGAAAACAACAUUUUUUAUUUUAACAUGGCAUAUAAUAGGAAACUUAGUGUGUUAACACCUGUAUCAUUGUAUUAUGUAAGUCUGCUGCUAUGAUUUGACAAUGACAAAAAUUGACAUUUUUUAUAGAAGAACUCUGAAAUACCGGCAAAGUCAAAAUAGACUGAAAAAAAAUUUUGUAAAAUUAUCGACUUAAUAUCAGAAGUAAAUGCAAAUUCCUCUAAUGGUAUCAUUCGACAAUUUCAUUAUUGUUUAAAUAUUUUAAUGAAAUUGUAAAUGAAAACUAUAGAAUUUAAAUUGUUGUUGAAUUUAAAUCAGUGAAAUAAAGAAGAAAAAGAAGUUCAUUUACAUCGACCGUCGGUAAUCAUACAAUUAAUCUCGAAUGUUUCUAACGUUACUUUUUAUUUUCUUUUUUCAUAAAAGGUAUAUAAAUCAUAUCAAAAUGCAUUAUAUUUAAGGUAUUAAAUUCGGUUUAAGAUUAUUUAAUGUAACUAAUACUAGGCACUAAUAAUACUGGCGCUGUAGUUUUGAUUUAAUCAGCGAUCGAUAAAACAGAAUUCGAAAGAAAAAGAAAUUAAUACAAUAAAUUCUGUCGUCUUAUAUAUAUAUAGAUAUCAGCGGAAUGUCGAAAAAUUAAGUACAAUAAUACUAAGUCUAAACGCUGAGUAAAUAGCACACAUAAGUGAGGCGAUUACUUCUGUUUUUCAUUUUUCGUGCCAUAAUAAUAGUGAAAAUUGGCAUGAACUUACAAUGGAACGAGUUGCAAGAAAAUAAAAAAAAAUCUAUUGUUCGAAAAUAAAUAACGACGAUGCGUUAAAUGUCAACAUAAAAAGAAAAAAAAGAUAAUAUAGUCAAUUGAUUGAAUAUAAACAAAAAUUUCGUCGAUCAAAAAAAAAAGAUUAAAUCAACGCAUAAUUAGUCUGAUCAAUAUAGCAAGUAGCAUCCAUCGAAGUUCAUGUAUCUCAAUUACAUUUUUUCUUUGAAACGGUAAAACUUUUAUACUUCGAAAAAUAUAUGUUUCUAUAUAAUAAUUAUAU